rnacentral:lncRNA from 13 species
CGGCUGAGUGGAGAGGAUCCGAAGUCGCUGGGUCCAUUCUUGGUCGGAUUCUUCUGUUAGGUCGGAUUCUUCUGUUAUGGAGCGUGAAUGAGGACCCAAAAGCGAAUUAACAAACAGAGUACUUUAAUGACGAACAUACGUGGGCUCAGAUGGACAGGUAGAUUCCGACAGGACAGGACAAGGUUGCAGCACACACGAUGAUAGUCUGGUUCAGGCAUGAGACACAUAAACAAACAAACAAGAAUCCGACAAGGACAGGAGCAGAAACAGAGACAGAUAUAGGGACCUAAUCAGAGGGAAAAAGGGAACAGGUGGGGAACGGGGUGAAUGGGUAAUUAGGAGGAGACAAGGCACAGCUGGGGAAAAGAGGGGGAGAAAAGGUAACAUAACAACGACCAGCAGAGGGAGACAGGGUGAAGGGAAAGGACAGAGACAAGACAACAUGACAUUCAAACUGCAUAAAUGUGAAGAAUGAGCCAAUUGUAAACUGGGGAUUAUUAGGUGACCGUGACGGUUUGAGGGCCAGAUUGGGAAUUUAGCCAGGACCCCAGGGUUAACACCCCUACUCUUACGAUAAGUGCCAUGGGAUCUUUAAUGACCUCAGAGAGUCAGGACACCCGUUUUAACGUCCCAUCCGAAAGACGGCACUCUACACAGGGCAGUGUGUAGAGAUAUUAUUAUUAUUUUUUAAUUCUGAGUGAUUAAGGUCAAGGUUUGGGAAAGGAUUAAAACACAAAAUAAAUGCCUAACACUAGGAUUUAAUGCGUGAUGCUUGGAGACAUAGCGCAAUGUUUUAGAUUAUCCUCAUCGACAUCGUUGUGAUCCGACCAAAUGUACAGGCACUCGCGUUGCCCCUAGUCAAUGGUCGGACAUUGCCAUGAAAAUAUACUGAACAAAAAUAUACACACAAUAUCCAACAAUUUCAACAAUUUUACUGAGUUACAGUUCACAUAAGGAAAUCAGUCAAUUGAAAUAAAUGCAUUAGGCCCUAAUCUAUGGAUUUCACAUGACUGGGCAGGGGCACAGUCAUGUUUCAGCUAAUGAAACAUGGGACCAACAUGUUACAUGCUGAGUUUGUUUUUUUCCUAGUAUAAUUUGGCUUGCUUUAACAUACCUUCACCAUUCCAAAAACGGGUUGACAGUGUGUAAUCCACUAGACCCAUCAGAGAGCAAGAUGGAUGAUUCAAAACACCCCAAAUACAGUCAUCUGCCCUUACACCUAUCUCAAUAACGUCUAUCUCAAUAACUAAAAAUCCUAAAAAAUAUGGGAAGAUGGUGUGAAUAUUGUCUUUGAAAAAUGACUCUAUAACACUCAUUUGAUAUAAUGUAAAAAUGACUUCCAAGAUUAAGCA